rnacentral:rRNA from 1 species
GGACAACAGUUGGAAACGACUGCUAAUACCGCAUAAGCCCACGGGUCGGCAUCGACCUGAGGGAAAAGGAGUGAUCCGCUUUGAGAUGGCCUCGCGUCCGAUUAGCUAGUUGGUGAGGUAAUGGCCCACCAAGGCAACGAUCGGUAGCCGGACUGAGAGGUUGAACGGCCACAUUGGGACUGAGACACGGCCCAGACUCCUACGGGAGGCAGCGGUGGGGAAUAUUGCACAAUGGGGGAAACCCUGAUGCAGCGACGCCGCGUGGAGGAAGAAGGUCUUCGGAUUGUAAACUCCUGUUGUUGAGGAAGAUAAUGACGGUACUCAACAAGGAAGUGACGGCUAACUACGUGCCAGCAGCCGCGGUAAAACGUAGGUCACAAGCGUUGUCCGGAAUUACUGGGUGUAAAGGGAGCGCAGGCGGGAAGACAAGUUGGAAGUGAAAUCUAUGGGCUCAACCCAUAAACUGCUUUCAAAACUGUUUUUCUUGAGUAGUGCAGAGGUAGGCGGAAUUCCCGGUGUAGCGGUGGAAUGCGUAGAUAUCGGGAGGAACACCAGUGGCGAAGGCGGCCUACUGGGCACCAACUGACGCUGAGGCUCGAAAGUGUGGGUAGCAAACAGGAUUAGAUACCCUGGUAGUCCACACCGUAAACGAUGAUUACUAGGUGUUGGAGGAUUGACCCCUUCAGUGCCGCAG